rnacentral:lncRNA from 1 species
CUGGUUAGGUUAACUGCCAGCUGUUACAUGACUGAAAUGCUGUUGAAAAACGGUGUUAAACCCAAAACAAACAAACAAAAAUCAGAAACAUCUAAAAUUUAUGUCAAAAUAGAGAAACUUUGAUGACUUGCAAUGAUGACAAACAACUUAGGACACCUUUUAAUCACACCAUGUAAAAAACAUAGUUACCGUUACCUGAGCAAGUCAAGAGUAUUGGGAUCCCCACCACUGCUGUAAUCUGUGGAAGUACAGAACAAUAAUUUUGUCAAGAUUCAUCUUGUGGUGGUGGUGGAGUGGGGAGGGGGUGUAGAUGGCCACUGGUUCUUGUAUUUUCUGAUGAAAAGAUGCAGGAAGUUACAUAAUAAGUAUACAUACAAAAAUAAGGGCAGUGUACUUGUUUUGAUUGUAAUGAACAAAACUUGCAGUGAUGACAAACAACUUAGGACACCUUUUAAUCACAGCAUGUAAACAACUUUGUUACCGUUAACUGAGCAAGUUUGAAUAGAUACAGCUGGCUUUGCACAAAUUGGUACCAGAAAAUUUGCUAUUUCAGUUAAGUCAUCUAUAGCUAAAACUAUUUUGUAUUGUCUGGAUGUUGUUUUGUGUUAACAUUAAUUAGCAACAUAUGGUCUGUAUAGCAUAAUACUAACAGUCUGAGAUACAAAAUUAUCCUUUAAAGUAAAAAUUUUCAUACUUUAAUUGGUGAACUGAAAAAUGCGACUUCAUUAAAUCUUUAGUUGAGCAGAAAGCAUUCCUUAAUAACUAUAUACUUCUGUUGCAAUGGAGGCCAUAUAAAGAUUGUGCGAGAGUUCUGUAUGUAAGUAAAACGAGGGUUAAAAGAUGUUGGAGUCUUGAUCCAUGCGGAAUUUGACAGCUUAUCAAAAUUCUGCCGAGAGGUAUUUUUAGUUAUGAAAAUUCUGAGGAAAGCCUUUUUAAAAACAGAUGUCAAAAAUUAUGCAAAUACCAAAAACUGAGCAAUAAUCCGACCUGUACAGUUUGAAAUUUAUCUUGAAUAUAUAUUGUAACUCUAGAAGCGUGCUGGCAGCAUGUGAUUCUGCCUUUGUGACCAGUGCCCACCAGAUGAGACUGCACAUUGGUGCACAUAUCCAUGCAGUGUCAUCUUUUUCUGCACUUUUCGCUUUUCAGUUUGUAAAUUUUCAAUGAACACACUUUCGAAUAAUAAAUGGUACUGCCCAGAUUAAAUGACAGACCAGUCUAUUUCAGAAAUUUAGCAGGGUAAAGGCUAGGUGACUUGCAGUGAUGACUAACUACUUUGGACACCAGGUGACAUAUUAAUCUCAACAUGUAAAAAAACCUCUGUGACCAUUUCCUGAGCAAGUCGAAAUAAAGCAUGUCAUAAAGGUAGAUGAUUUGUUUGAUGUAUGAUGGCUAUCGUGAAGAAGAAGGGUUUAAUUUUGAUGUGUCACUCCUGUCCUGCUUACUUCCCAGUAAAGAUGGGAGGUCUUCAGACCAACAGUGAAGACAGUUUGUUAGAUUGCCCAUCUUGUUUUCAGUUCCAUAUAUUGUCAGUAGUUGUUGUGUUUGUCAUUUUGUGUUUGAUAAGGUUGGUUUUGUGCCCCAAAAUUACUAGAUGUUAGUAGAGGUUUUCAGAUGGUUGUGAAAGAUUGGCUGGCUUCAUUCAUUCGUAAUUGUUCGCUGAUCUUAAAUUUUCCUUGCAGGGUAGUAGUUUUGAUAGGUUAACUGUUACUAAUUUAGACAUUUUUGAUGACUUGCAAUGAUGACAAACAACUUAGGACACCUUUUAAUCACACCAUGUAAAAAACAGUGUUACCGUUACCUGAGCAAGUCUAAAAUAAUUCUGAAAAUUAUCAGCAGUUUUUGUCAGCCAUGAGUCGAUUUUUCUGGAAAAGGAAAGUUGUAUUACAGAUUUGCUAGACCUUUACCCUGUCUGCUCUGGUUUGCUUAUUCAGAUUUUAUUACUUUAUUCUAGUUUUAGUGCCAAUUUCAUUGUGUUUAUUGUCUUAAAUGUGUUUUACAGGAAGUUAUUUGGUUGUUUUAAGAUGUGAGUUGGGCUAUGGAAUGAUACUUGCAUAGAAAUGUGAUAUGUUGGAGUUUCAAGACAGUUUGCAAUGAUGAAAAUCCUUAGGACACCUUUUAAAGAACCAUGUGAAAAUCAUAAGCGUUACCAAAACUGAGCAAACUACAGAAACAUCUAAAAUUUUAUUCAGAGAUUGAAGUCUUAGAGAUUUUGAUGACUUGCAAUGAUGACAAACAACUUAGGACACCUUUUAAUCACACCAUGUAAAAAACGUUGUUACCGUUACCUGAGCAAGUCAGAAUACUGGGAUCCUCGCCCCUUGUUUCAAAUUAGAUGCCACUGACUCUUGCGUUUAGGCCCCAUGUUGUUCUGGAAAGAUCUGUGUGUGAAAAGAAUUGGAACCACUGUCUUACUCUUGCAUGAUUGCAACUAAUAAGAGUCUGAACACUUCGUUUUGCUCUAACUCUGUGAUUCCAGCAAGUAUAAAAGUUCUGAUAUCAGAUCAUAUCUUGCAUUCAGAUUAAUGGAAAGAAAUGGUGGGUGUCGUACACCUUUAGGAUAACUAAGAAUAAUUUGGUUUUUGUGAUAUGAAUGAGAAAAAAACUUGCAAUGAUGACUGACUACUUUGGACACCAGGUGACAUAUUAAUCUUAACAUGUAAAAAACCCACUUGUGACCAUUACCUGAGCAAGUCCAAAUAAAGGUGGAUGAUUGUUUUGUAUAAUUGACCAUUAGAAGAGAGGCUUUUAAGGUAAUUUCAGUAUGACGUAGCCCGUCCUGCCUGGUUGGCAGUCGUCAAAACACCACUGAAGCAAGUUUGUUCUUAAAAUUGUCGAUCUUAUUGUCAGUUAGGAAAUGCAAGUUGUGUUUCUCGACAUCGUUUGUACAGUGAAGUUGGUUCGAGUCCCAAGAUUGAUUCUGUUUUGUAGAUGUUUUCAGUAGGUUGUAAAAGUUUGGGAUGUCUUCAGUUAUUCUCUGGUUUAUGUGGUGAUGAAAACUUUUUGCUUGCUGAGUACAGUCUACUGUGUUAGUUUUCAUAAUUGUUAAAUUAUUUUGAUGACUUGCAAUGAUGACAAACAACUUAGGACACCUUUUAAUCACACCAUGUAAAAAACGUAGUUACCGUUACCUGAGCAAGUCGAAAAAUAAUCUAGAUAUAAUGUAUAUAAGGCUAUCGAUUGGUUAUAGCUAAAAUUUGAUGAAUACUUCAUUAUGCCAGUUAGGUUUUUUUCCCCCUCAAGAUUCUCAUUUACAUAAAUUUAGUGCCUUAACCAAUUCAAUGAUUAUAUAUUAUAGUUAUACCCGCCUGCUUGUCUCAAUAGGGAGAGUGCAGAUCUACGAAUCUUUGGGUUGCAAGUUCGAUCCCCAAGCAGGCUGAUGUCUCAGUGACGAUUUGGUAACAGACAUUGUGUCUGAAAUCAUUCGUCCUCCACCUCUGAUUCAUGUGGGGAAGUUGGCAGGUACUUGCGGAGAACAGGUUUGUACUGUGACAGAAUCCAGGAACACUGGUUAGGUUAACUGCCUGCCAUUGAUAUACUGUUGAAAAACGGCAUUAAACCCAAAACAAACAUAUAUUAUAGUCGUUUGCAUUUGUCAAGAAGUUGUCAGUUUGUUGUCAUUCCAGAGGUAAAAGGGUAAAUUGGCAUAAAAUUUAAUUUUGAAAUUGCUAGAUAAUUGGGCUGAAAAUAAAAUAUUCUGUUUCCUGAUGUGCUACUUAACCAGAAAAAUAAGAAUGAUAUUAAACAAAACUAAUGGUACAGAGCAAGAGGAGUGAAAUACAAUGUACAUUGUAUUCAGGAGGUACAGACUGUUCUUGUUAAAUGAGAAGAGAAAUAAUUAGCACACGUCUGUAGCGACCAUAAUGAUUCUGCAUCCUUAUGAUCAAUAUGACAAAUGAUGAGCAUUAAUGACAUCCCUUGAAUACGAUGAUGGUUUCAGUGUAGCUCUGAUGUUGUAAAUAAGUCCAAGCCUGGAUAUUGUUCAGUAUUCUAUGAGUUUCAAGACAGUUUGCAGUGAUGAAAAUUCUUAGGACACCUUUUAAAGAACCAUGCGAAAAAUGUAAGCGUUACCAAAACUGAGCAAACUACAGAAACAUUUGUUAAUCUUGUCCAGAGAUUGAAGUCUUGGAGAUUGACUUGCAAUGAUGACAAGCAACUUAGGACACCUUUUAAUCACACCAUGUAAAAACAUAGUUACCGUUACCUGAGCAAGUCAGAAUCUAAGGAUACCCCAGGGCCCUUGUUCUCCUCAAGUUUUGCAGGAACUCCCAAGACCCCUUAUAAGGUGGUGAUGCUCGAAUCAGAUAACUAGGAAUGUGAGUGUACAGGAAAUUCUAUGUUUUUUCAUAAUCAGUGGUAUGUCAGUAUUGUAGUGUAGAGGCUGUUGGUUUGUCUCACUGUUCUAUUGUUUUCUUAUGCUGGAAUGCCAAUGGUCUUACGCAUGACAAAAUUUUGUAUUUCCUAUUGCCAAACAAUGACGUACCAGUGAUGGUGUGUGGUUCAGCGUAGAAUGUAACCCUGACAGCAUGAUGAAAAUCUAUGAGUUAUAGAGAUACAGCAUGUAUUACAUGUAUAUAUCUUGAUGUUUACUAUGUCAUAGUUACACUGACUGUCUUAACCAGUACUUCCACUAGUCUUAACACCAUGAUAAAGGUGAUAUAACAUAAUCAUAAAACCAUGAUAAAGGUGAUAUUACACAGUCGUAAAGCCAUGAUGAAGCUGAUUGAUAAUGCCAUUGUAUUUAGGUAUUACUGUAUCAAGGUAUUUGGGAGGUUUGGUCAUGAAAAGUUUGGGAAGACGGAAGGAGUGAAAAUCGGGAAUCUUUGUAGACUGUUAGAACUAUUAUUAACUCGCCCCUCACACUGGGUUUAGCUCUUGCCUUCAGGUCAGGUUGCAGCUUUCUGUUCAGUGUUUCUUCUAGAUUAUAAACAAUAUCUAUAGACUCUACACACUGAGUUUUCUUUCUUCAGAGCAAUUUUGCUGAUAAUGGAAAGUAGGCAGGAUGAUGAUAGUUAUAGACAUUGUGAAGGUGGCUCCUCAGUCGUUUUGACUGUAAAACGACCAUCUAAAGAUUCAGUCGACACUGUCAUAGUUACUCUGACUGCUUACUGU